UACAGAGGAGCCAAGCGUUGUCCGGAUUGACUGGGCGUAAAGCGCACGCAGGCGGUCGCGCGCGUGGGGUGUGAAAUCUGGCCGCUUAACGGCCAGGCGCCAUCCCAUACGGCGCGACUGGAGUGAUGCAGAGGUCGAUGGAAUUGCCGGUGUAGUGGUGAAAUGCGCAGAUAUCAGGAGGAACACCAAUUGCGAAGGCAGCUCGCUGGGACGUUACUGACGCUGAGACGCGAAAGCGUGGGGAGCAAACAGG
rnacentral:rRNA from 1 species